UCGAGAAUCUUCGGCAAUGGGCGCAAGCCUGACCGAGCGACGCCGCGUGGAGGAUGAAGGCCUUCGGGUUGUAAACUCCUGUCGAGGGGGAGGAAGCCGCAAGGUUGACCGAUCCCUGGAGGAAGGACGGGCUAAGUUCGUGCCAGCAGCCGCGGUAAGACGAACCGUCCGAACGUUAUUCGGAAUUACUGGGCUUAAAGCGCGUGUAGGCGGGACGGCACGUCUGUCGCUGAAAUCCCUCGGCUUAACCGAGGAACGGGCGCGGAUACGACCGUCCUGGAGGGGGGUAGGGGGACCUGGAACUUCCGGUGGAGCGGUGAAAUGCGUUGAGAUCGGAAGGAACGCCCGUGGCGAAAGCGAGGUCCUGGACCCUUUCUGACGCUGAGACGCGAAAGCCAGG
rnacentral:rRNA from 1 species